rnacentral:rRNA from 1 species
UACGUAGGGUGCGAGCGUUAAUCGGAAUUACUGGGCGUAAAGCGUGCGCAGGCGGCGCUGCAAGUCGAGUGUGAAAUCCCCGAGCUUAACUUGGGAAUUGCGCUCGAAACUACGGUGCUGGAGUGUGGCAGAGGGAGGUGGAAUUCCACGUGUAGCGGUGAAAUGCGUAGAUAUGGGGAGGAACACCGGUGGCGAAGGCGGCCACCUGGACGGUAACUGACGCUGAGACGCGAAAGCGUGGGGAGCAAACAGG